rnacentral:rRNA from 1 species
CAGUAGCCGCGGGAAUACAGAGGGUGCGAGCGUUAAUCGGAUUUACUGGGCGUAAAGCGUGCGUAGGCGGCUUUUUAAGUCGGAUGUGAAAUCCCUGAGCUUAACUUAGGAAUUGCAUUCGAUACUGGGAAGCUAGAGUAUGGGAGAGGAUGGUAGAAUUCCAGGUGUAGCGGUGAAAUGCGUAGAGAUCUGGAGGAAUACCGAUGGCGAAGGCAGCCAUCUGGCCUAAUACUGACGCUGAGGUACGAAAGCAUGGGGAGCAAACAGGAUUAGAUACCCCCGUAGUCCCUGUCUCUUAUCC